rnacentral:rRNA from 1 species
GAUGAACGCUGGCGGCGUGCCUAAUACAUGCAAGUCGAGCGAACGGACGAGAAGCUUGCUUUUCUGAUGUUAGCGGCGGACGGGUGAGUAACACGUGGAUACCCUACCUAUAAGACUGGGAUAACUUAGGGAAACCGGAGAUAAUACCGGAUAAUAUUUUGAACCGCAUGGUUCAAAAGUGAAAGACGGUCUUGCUGUCACUUAUAGAUGGAUCCGCGCUGCAUUAGCUAGUUGGUAAGGUAACGGCUUACCAAGGCAACGAUGCAUAGCCGACCUGAGAGGGGGAUCGGCCACACUGGAACUGAGACACGGUCCAGACUCCUACGGGAGGCAGCAGUAGGGAAUCUUCCGCAAUGGGCGAAAGCCUGACGGAGCAACGCCGCGUGAGUGAUGAAGGUCUUCGGAUCGUAAAACUCUGUUAUUAGGGAAGAACAUAUGUGUAAGUAACUGUGCACAUCUUGACGGUACCUAAUCAGAAAGCCACGGCUAACUACGUG